rnacentral:lncRNA from 1 species
CCUCUGCCCCCGUCUAUCCAGCCCGGGGCGCCUCCCCAGCAGCCCCUACCUUCCCUCCCGCCCCUCCCCUAGCCCUGGGGCCUCCUGGUUCUGUCUGGGCUCACCGUGCGGGGCUGGAUAUCGAGGGCCCGGGAACGGUUCCCGGGAGCGGGGUCCGCUGCUGCUCCAGCAGCUGUUAACGACCCGCGGCAGCAGCCUCCCCGCUGGCAGCUCCGGCCGAAUCAGCGCUCCGCGCCGGCCCCCGCGACGUCACCGCCCCGCGCCGGCACGCCCGACGCCUCCUGGGAGUUGUAGUUUCCUCCGCUGGUUCCCGGCCGGCCCGCCCGACGCUCCUGGGAGUUGUAGUUUUUCCUGGGCUCCGUUCCCGGACUCUCCGGGGACGCGCGGUUGGAAGUUGCACCGUGACGUGGUCAGAUCGGAUGAUAGAAUUUUGAAACCUCGCCCGCAUUAAGGCAAGAAAGGUGUCUGUUUUUUCCGAAGUGAGCCUGCUUGACUCCUUUGAUUUUUCUCUGGGAUUCUUCGUCCUCCAUCAAGUUGAUCGAUUCCUCUGGAUCUUGGUCAGUUUCCUGACAUCUCUAUAAAGUUCAGGGACCCAGGCUGAGUCCACGUCUCAAAUGAGGUUCUGACUAAUGCAGAGUCUAACAGAAAGAUUACUGGACAUGUCAUGCACUGUUAAUAACCUCUGUUAUCAAGGAUUUUUUUUUUUUUUUUUCACAAUAGGAAUGAACAGAGUUCUGACUCACUCUAGGUUUGUGGUAAAUUGCAGAUCACUUUCUGCUUUAUUUAGCCGGAGUCCCUGUCAUCAUCUUUCUCCUUCUCUAACUCUGCCCUCAUAAUUACCAUGUCUUCCCCAAACGUUCUUCAACUGUGAAUAGCUCUAAGCACUACGCAGAGUGAGUGACAGCUCUCUUAUUUGGUGCUGGGGGACACACAAACCCUUGGACAAACCAUUGUCACUGUGUGCCAAGAAGCUGAAAAAUUCUCCAUGCCUCAGAGCCAUAAUUACACUUCUGGUAGCAUAUUCUAAGGAAGUCAUCCCAUGUACAGGAAAAGCUGCAAUGUGUCAGGAUGUUCAUUCCAGCAAUAUUUAUAGUAGUGAAAAACUGAAAGCAACCAAAUGCCCAAGAAAAAAAUUACAGUAUAUCCACUGGAUGGAAUAGUAUGAAGCCAUUUAGGACAGAUUAUGAAAACCCUAUGGCAGUAUGGGGAAAUGUUUGCUAAGUUAUAUGAAAAAAUAAGGACACAAAAUAGCAUAAGAUACAUUCCCCAGGGAUAUAGUCAGCAAAGUCUAGAAUGAAAAAAAUUAGGACAAAUACUCAAUUCCCUUAACAAAUAAAAUUGGGGCCAGGUAUGGUGACUCA